AUUGAACGCUGGCGGAAUGCUUUACACAUGCAAGUCGAGCGGCAGCACGGGGGCAACCCUGGUGGCGAGCGGCGAACGGGUGAGUAAUACAUCGGAACAUGCCCAGUCGUGGGGGAUAACACUUCGAAAGAAGUGCUAAUACCGCAUACGUCCUGAGGGAGAAAGCGGGGGAUCUUCGGACCUCGCGCGAUUGGAGUGGCCGAUGUCAGAUUAGCUAGUUGGUGGGGUAAAGGCCUACCAAGGCAACGAUCUGUAGCUGGUCUGAGAGGAUGAUCAGCCACACUGGGACUGAGACACGGCCCAGACUCCUACGGGAGGCAGCAGUGGGGAAUAUUGGACAAUGGGCGAAAGCCUGAUCCAGCCAUGCCGCGUGUGUGAAGAAGGUCUUCGGAUUGUAAAGCACUUUAAGUCGGGAGGAAGGGUUGUAGGUUAAUACCUUGCAGCCUUGACGUUACCGACAGAAUAAGCACCGGCUAACUUCGUGCCAGCAGCCGCCGUAAAAC
rnacentral:rRNA from 1 species